rnacentral:rRNA from 1 species
CACGAACUGCGCAAACGUUAUUCGGAAUUACUGGGCGUAAAGGGUGCGUAGGUGGUUGAUUAAGUUAUCUGUGAAAUUCCUGGGCUUAACCUGGGACGGUCAGAUAAUACUGGUUGACUCGAGUAUGGGAGAGGGUAGUGGAAUUUCCGGUGUAGCGGUGAAAUGCGUAGAGAUCGGAAGGAACACCAGUGGCGAAGGCGGCUACCUGGCCUAAUACUGACACUGAGGCACGAAAGCGUGGGGAGCAAACAGG